CACCGAGGAGCUGGUCUCCGGUCUGAGAGUGGAACACGAGUCUCCUGCUAAUGGCGGGGCUGAAUGCGACGGCGUCAUACGGGAUGGAAAGAAAGAACGCAACUUGUGCUGAUGAAACUACAAGUAAAUGAAGAGUUGAGGCUGUCGGAAGUCUUGGCGGGGUCCGUGAACUCGGUGUCAUUCCAAGGUCCCGCGAAACUAGUGGAAUUUGACCUUGUGUCUGAAAUCAAAUUUAAC